rnacentral:rRNA from 1 species
GACUCGUCACACUAUCAUUAACUGAAUCCAUAGGUUAAUGAGGCGAACCGGGGGAACUGAAACAUCUAAGUACCCCGAGGAAAAGAAAUCAACCGAGAUUCCCCCAGUAGCGGCGAGCGAACGGGGAGGAGCCCAGAGCCUGAAUCAGCAUGUGUGUUAGUGGAAGCGUCUGGAAAGGCGCGCGAUACAGGGUGACAGCCCCGUACACAAAAGCGCAUGUGCUGUGAGCUCGAUGAGUAGGGCGGGACACGUGGUAUCCUGUCUGAAUAUGGGGGGACCAUCCUCCAAGGCUAAAUACUCCUGACUGACCGAUAGUGAACCAGUACCGUGAGGGAAAGGCGAAAAGAACCCCGGCGAGGGGAGUGAAAAAGAACCUGAAACCGUGUACGUACAAGCAGUGGGAGCACCCUUUGGGGUGUGACUGCGUACCUUUUGUAUAAUGGGUCAGCGACUUAUAUUCUGUAGCAAGGUUAACCGAAUAGGGGAGCCGGAGGGAAACCGAGUCUUAAUUGGGCGUUAAGUUGCAGGGUAUAGACCCGAAACCCGGUGAUCUAGCCAUGGGCAGGUUGAAGGUUGGGUAACACUAACUGGAGGACCGAACCGACUAAUGUUGAAAAAUUAGCGGAUGACCUGUGGCUGGGGGUGAAAGGCCAAU